UAUCCUGGCUCAGGACGAACGCUGGCGGCGUGCUUAACACAUGCAAGUCGAACGGAGUACCCUCGAAAGAGAUUUCGGUCAAUGGAGAGGACUACUUAGUGGCGGACGGGUGAGUAACGCGUGAGGAACCUGCCUUUCAGAGGGGGACAACAGUUGGAAACGACUGCUAAUACCGCAUAACGUACGGGUAUCGCAUGGUACUGGUACCAAAGAUUUAUCGCUGAGAGAUGGCCUCGCGUCUGAUUAGCUAGUUGGUAGGGUAACGGCCUACCAAGGCGACGAUCAGUAGCCGGACUGAGAGGUUGGCCGGCCACAUUGGGACUGAGAUAUGGCCCAGACUCCUACGGGAGGCAGCAGUGGGGAAUAUUGCACAAUGGGGGAAACCCUGAUGCAGCGACGCCGCGUGAGUGAAGAAGUAUUUCGGUAUGUAAAGCUCUAUCAGCAGGGAAGAAAUAGCGACCUUUGGGUCGCCAGACGGUACCUGACUAAGAAGCCCCGGCUAACUACGUG
rnacentral:rRNA from 1 species